CCCAUAUGCUCUCCACUUAAUGUGCACGCGUGAUUUGGCGUGGCACCUAACGGAAUCUCGGGCAAUAAUUCCGGGUAUUUAUGACGUAGGUAAGGAUAAUGUCUUCGUGUGUGCGAGGGAAGGAUAGGCGCAAUCGUAGGACUGUUCAGUGCAGCAUUAAGUACAAUCACGACCAUCCCUACAUAAGCAGGAUCAUCCACGUCAGGCUCGGAAGUAGCGAAGAACGGAUGAGUGGAUAAUAGUUCAGGGACAAGAGACACUGCGAUGUUCUGGUGUUGAUUUCCCAAGUGCUUUAAACAGCU